GAUGAACGCUGGCGGCGUGCCUAACACAUGCAAGUCGUACGAGCUCGAUCUUCGGAACGGGUUAGUGGCGCACGGGUGAGUAACACGUAGGUGACCUACCCCAGAGUGGGGGAUAACUUCUCGAAAGAGAGGCUAAUACCGCAUACACUCGGUCAUUCAUUUGGCCGAGCAAAGCUCCGGCGCUUUGGGACGGGCCUGCGUCCGAUUAGCUAGUUGGUAGGGUAAUGGCUUACCAAGGCUUUGAUCGGUAGCUGGUCUGAGAGGACGAUCAGCCACACUGGCACUGACACACGGGCCAGACUCCUACGGGAGGCAGCAGUGAGGAAUAUUGGGCAAUGGGCGAAAGCCUGACCCAGCAACGCCGCGUGAGGGAUGAAGGCCUUCGGGUUGUAAACCUCUUUUCUGGGAGAAGAGACAAGGACGGUAUCCCAGGAAUAAGUCUCGGCUAACUACGUGCCAGCAGCCGCGGUAAU
rnacentral:rRNA from 1 species